UGCUUCAAACAUCAAAAUGGUAUGUUUUGAAAAAAAUACGAGUAGAAUUUCUUUAAUUUCUCAUCAAUCCGACUUCGAAUUAAGAUUUCAAACACGAAUCACUAUAGCCUAUAUAAAACGUUAUGCAACUUAUACCGUUAUUUAAUUAUUUAAUGAUAACUUGUUUUUAAACCCGAAAAAGUCCGCAGUUAUAAAUUGGGCCAAUUGACUCUAGUGAAGAUAUUAAUUUGCUGUUGAUGUCCAAAUGGUGUUCUCGUAGUCUUAAAAUUUGUCUAAAGUCGGGGAUAUUAUGUAUAUGAACAGGCUAAGUCGCCAAGUAUAUGUGUAUAGAGAUCCAGAUUUCACUGCAUCUAUAUUAUAACAGACAUCCCAACAAUCCAACUACUGGAGGUAAAAUUUAGGGAGACUGUUCAAUGAAUUGAAAUCUAGUUCUUCUGGGAAAAAAUAAUAGAAAUUAAGUCUUCUGAAAUGACGUUUCCUGCAUUUUGGGACUAUGUUGUUAUAAAUGAUCCUAUAAAUUGCCAUAAAGUAACUUCAAAAAAGGUCCGAGACAGACUAUUAUGUUGCUAAAAACAGUAUAUUUAUAAUUUUUUUAUGAUAUUUCCUGAAUAUUCUGAAAAAUGGGGAGAAUUUGAUAAAAAUCGGGAGACCGGGAGAUUGCAUGAACUUUCGGGAGACUCCCGGUAAAAUCGGGAGAGUUGGAAUGUCUGUUAUAAAUAGAAUUUACAUGUAUAUGACUAGUAUCAAAUAUAGUAAUUCAUUCAUAUAUCAAUAAUUUUUAAUACUAGUAUCGAGAAAGGUUCUUGGUAAUGUAUUUUAGCAGCCUCGUACGGAGUCGUACCCAGGCGCUUUGAUUGGCUUUGACACUACGCACCUUGAUUCCUGCGCGUGCGCCACACAACCAGUUACACGGCUAAAAACGCACAGGUUGUUCCAAGUUGAUAUUGACAGGCGUGAACAAUGUUGUUUGUUCCAAGUUGAUAUCGACAGGCGUGAACAAUGUUGUGCGGCCAACUAUGAACAAGUUGUCAACCAUGUUCUUCCAAGUUGUUACAGUUGAAAAUGCUGUAACAACAUGUUGAUAAUACUGUUCAUUGUGGGCCGCACAACCUUGUUCACGCCUGUUGAUAUCAACCUGGAACAAAUUGUUGAUUUUCUCAAUUUUUACGCAUGUAGCACAUCAAAGCACCUGGGACGAGGCUGGUAUUUUAGGCAGUUUGGUAAGAUUUACGAAUGUUUCGGUGCAAAGAGUAUGAUAAAAUCGUGCAUAUUAGGAUGGCUAGCAGUGACUGAGAAAUACAUUUCGUUGAAUCAUCCUGCAAUUGUGAACCAUGUUGGACCAUGAUUUGACUGCAAUUGCUAUGUCUGUCACUAGCACAAAGUUGGUGACCGUUGACAAAGAGAUUUCUAUCCUGCUUUGCGGAAUUGUUCCUGAGGAAAGAGAUUGCCCUAUGUUACUACCUUACGUUUUAGUCUAACACCACAGAGCUCUGGGUUAAGCCUUCGUCAAACGACGUUGACGGUAACAACUCUCGCUUGCGUUUGACUACCAACUCUCAUUGACUCUCAUUAACUUUUGGUUCAAAUUUUGAUGGGUAUUUUUGCUACGUGCUUGGUAAUAUCCAGUCAACUCUCAUCGACACUCAUGCAACUCUUGUUCUCGUUUGAUCGAGACAUGAGAGUUGAGAAAACUCUAGUGCAAACUCUUGGGGUCAUCAUCUACCUACACUAUCCAGGCCCGUGGUUGGUUGAUUAUAACAACGAAAGAACGAGUCACGAACAAUAAUCAUUUUUGUUUCUGAAGGCCAAUCACAAAACAUGAUCAUUUUAGGUAGGUCUUUACCUAACUCUUGCUUCUCAACUCUCAUCAACACUCACUUUCAUUUGACCAGGGCUUUAAUCUAGAGCUUGAAAUGUCCCCUGUAACAAUGCAUAACAGCAAACUCUCAUCAACUCUCACCUUGUUUGACUGGUGCAUAAGUUCCAAAUCUGCUAUAAUUAAAUAUUUGGGAUGAAACAUUUCUGUGUAAACUACACAUGAACCCAGUGAGUACCAGUGCUCUCCCCUUAACAAGUAAAAUUGUACACUGUUAGACAGAGCAAGAUAGUAAAGUAGGGUUGAAUGAGGUCUGCGAAGCAGGACGAAAUCUAUUUGUUAACUGUCCCUUAUUGACAAUACUCUUCCCUUAUUGUCAAUACUGGUCAUACCAGUUUGGGCAUGCCCUACAGGUGUCUAUAGCAUGACAGUUGUUUGUCCGUGUUCAUGCUCGUACUGGCCAUGAAAGCCGCUACAUUGGGUCAUUCCAGAAAACAUUCAUACCUCCACAAAGGAAAUUGGAAGUCAACCUUCCUACCCCCUUCAAAUUUCCUAAUACACUUACUAUUAUCACAAACUCGACUUUUCUGCCCUUCCUUUCUGGACAAUACAAAUUUCCUUCUUGGGGGGAGUGUGGAUCUUUUGUGGAAUGACCCAUUCAAAUUUCUUAGCAUGGUCUGCAUGACUCGCAUGGCUCAAAUAAAUUGCUGGAAAACAGUUUAUUUGUGAUAUGCAUGAUGAUAUCUCGCAAUUGUUAAUUUUUUAAUGGGCCUUUUAUUUAAGAGUGAAAACACACUGACCAUCAGGACAGAAAAGUUUUUAACCAACCGCCUGCUUCAAUGCAAGCCAAUGGUAUGUGUCUAUGUUCUUUAUAAAUAUUUUGUAUCAUUUGCAUAUAGUGUUUGUACUUCAUGAACAAGCUUUCGUUAGUAGGAAUACAACUGAAAAAUAAAAGGAGAAUUUCGACGUCUCGAGCGAAGCCCCUUCGUCUAGAGUUACUUCAUUGUACUUGAUAACUUUGUACUUCGUGAACUUGCUAAUCAUUUUUAGUAUUAGAAAGAGUUAUCUCAAGUAAAAUAUGGUAGACACCUCCACUUUUUUAAUUUUACAAAUCAUUUUUGAAUCCGAAAAGAAGGCCUAAACUAGAGUGAGGUGGUUCAGGGUAAAAACCGAAAACCGCGUCUAAAAAAACCCGAAAAAAUUAUUUUUGUAACUUGUGUCAAAAUAUACUACUGCUGGAUUAAACUUACGUUACACAUUCAAAACUUUACUGUCUUUAGUUUAAAAAUGGUAUUGUAGUAGUACUGCCUAAAUAUUUAAGCGGUAAGCCACUGUUAAGUGUGCUAUUUUCUUACUUUUUAAAAAUGUUCGACCAUGCACCAUUUUUUUCAAUAGUAUAGUAAUAUAGAGGUUCAGAUUUGACUCCCACUUCCGCUCACUGGCUUAGUACGCAUCUGAUUGGUUAAUCAGAUAGUUCAAAUGCAUCUGAUUGGUUAAUCAGAUAGUUCAAAUGCAACUGAUUGGUUAAUCAGAUAAUUAAACGCAUUUCAGUUCAACUCAGUUUACUGAGUUUCAAACUGUUUUUUCCGAUUUUUUUUCGCCUAGAACCUCAAAAAUAUAAUUAAUUGUUUUCGGGUUUAUCGCAUCACCGUAGCAAGCCUGAAACUUGUAUAAACAAUAUUCGGCAUCCGGGUACUGCAUAAUGAGAUUAUCUCACUAUUUUGCCCGGAUAUGAUCUCUAUUGCACCCCUAGUAACAAUUUAUUCUUUACAGAUUGUAGAUCCACCCAGGACGGGCUAACGUGCCAAAAACGGAACUUUGCGAGAAACUCGCGAAAAUGUACAAGACAACAGCUGACGGAAUCUUCAGCUUUGGGUUUAAAAACCCAAUUGUAAAACUCCCGUGUAAACUCUUGUUUGUUAACUCUCAUGCAACUCUUGUUCUCGUUUGAUCAAGCAUUGAAAGUUGAGAAAACUCUCAUGUAAACUCUCGCUUGUCAAUUCUCAUGCAACUCUUGUUCUCGUUUGAUCAAGCAAUGACAGUUGGGAAAACUCUCAUGUAAACUCUCGCUUGUCAAUUCUCAUGUAACUCUUGUUCUCGUUUGAUCAAGCAAUGACAGUUGGGAAAACUCUCAUGUAAACUCUCGCUUGUCAAUUCUCAUGUAACUCUUGUUCUCGUUUGAUCAAGCAAUGACAGUUGAGAAAACUCUCAUGUAAACUCUCGCUUGUCAAUUCUCAUGCAACUCUUGUUCUCGUUUGGUCAAGCAAUGAAAGUUGAGAAAACUCUCAUGUAAACUCUCGCUUGUCAAUUCUCAUGCAACUCUUGUUCUCGUUUGGUCAAGCAAUGAAAGUUGAGAAAACUCUCAUGUAAACUCUCGCUUGUCAAUUCUCAUGCAACUCUUGUUCUCGUUUGGUCAAGCAAUGAAAGUUGAGAAAACUCUCAUGUAAACUCUCGCUUGUCAAUUCUCAUGCAACUCUUGUUCUCGUUUGGUCAAGCAAUGAAAGUUGAGAAAACUCUCAUGUAAACUCUCGCUUGUCAAUUCUCAUGCAACUCUUGUUCUCGUUUGGUCAAGCAAUGAAAGUUGAGAAAACUCUCAUGUAAACUCUCGCUUGUCAAUUCUCAUGCAACUCUUGUUCUCGUUUGGUCAAGCAAUGAAAGUUGAGAAAACUCUCAUGUAAACUCUCGCUUGUCAAUUCUCAUGCAACUCUUGUUCUCGUUUGGUCAAGCAAUGAAAGUUGAGAAAACUCUCAUGUAAACUCUCGCUUGUCAAUUCUCAUGCAACUCUUGUUCUCGUUUGGUCAAGCAAUGAAAGUUGAGAAAACUCUCAUGUAAACUGUCGCUUAAUUGUCAACUCUCAUAAAAAAAUUAUAGUUAAAUGAGCUACGAUUACGAUACAAAUUGAAUUUUGAGUGAUUGCAUUUAAUUAAACCUUACUGUGGAGUAGUACUCGUACUAUUGCACGGCGGCUGAGCGUUCAAUAGUACGUACACGCAUAAAAAUUAAACGCACAAGUUAUUACAGGUCUGCAAACAAGUUGUUACAAAUCUGUUCACGAGCUGUCAACAAGCUGUCUUCGCACUGCUUGUUCCCAGUUGUUGUAACAAGUUUGGAACAAGCUGUUCACAACUUGUAACAAGCUUGAUGGCAUUAUCAGACUUGUUACAAGGUGGUUCUAACAAGUCUGAUACAGUCAUGAUAUAACAAGAAUGUUACAAAUUUGACGACACAAGGUUGUAACAAUAUUGUUAUAUCAUGACUGUAUCGGUCUUGUCGGAACACACUUGCAACAAGUCUGAUAAUAUCAACAAGGUUGUUACAAGUUGUUAACAGCUUGUUCCAAACUUGUUGACAACUUGGGACAAGCAGUGCGAACGCAACUUGUUGACGGCUUGUUGGCAGACUUGCUACAAGAUGUGAGAUUUUUACGCGUGUGCACGUACGCACGUGCGGUAGCAAAAAUGGGAAUUUUUAAUUCCAUAUCACGUGAUCAUUAUCAACCAAUUAAAUGACCAGAAUUGAAUGUUAUAUAAUAGCUGCUCUUAGUGCGAUCAAAAUCGCGUAUG